rnacentral:rRNA from 1 species
UACGUAGGGUGCGAGCGUUAAUCGGAAUUACUGGGCGUAAAGUGUGCGCAGGCGGCCGCGCAAGUCGAGUGUGAAAGCCCCGGGCUUAACUUGGGAAUUGCGCUCGAAACUACGUGGCUGGAGUGUGGCAGAGGAAGGUGGAAUUCCAGGUGUAGCGGUGAAAUGCGUAGAGAUCUGGAGGAACACCGAUGGCGAAGGCAGCCUUCUGGGCCAACACUGACGCUCAUGCACGAAAGCGUGGGGAGCAAACCGG